rnacentral:rRNA from 2 species
CGAACGAACUCUGGUAUUGAUUGGUGCUUGCAUCAUGAUUUACAUUUGAGUGAGUGGCGAACUGGUGAGUAACACGUGGGAAACCUGCCCAGAAGCGGGGGAUAACACCUGGAAACAGAUGCUAAUACCGCAUAACAACUUGGACCGCAUGGUCCGAGCUUGAAAGAUGGCUUCGGCUAUCACUUUUGGAUGGUCCCGCGGCGUAUUAGCUAGAUGGUGGGGUAACGGCUCACCAUGGCAAUGAUACGUAGCCGACCUGAGAGGGUAAUCGGCCACAUUGGGACUGAGACACGGCCCAAACUCCUACGGGAGGCAGCAGUAGGGAAUCUUCCACAAUGGACGAAAGUCUGAUGGAGCAACGCCGCGUGAGUGAAGAAGGGUUUCGGCUCGUAAAACUCUGUUGUUAAAGAAGAACAUAUCUGAGAGUAACUGUUCAGGUAUUGACGGUAUUUAACCAGAAAGCCACGGCUAACUACGUGCCAGCAGCCGCGGUAAUACGUAGGUGGCAAGCGUUGUCCGGAUUUAUUGGGCGUAAAGCGAGCGCAGGCGGUUUUUUAAGUCUGAUGUGAAAGCCUUCGGCUCAACCGAAGAAGUGCAUCGGAAACUGGGAAACUUGAGUGCAGAAGAGGACAGUGGAACUCCAUGUGUAGCGGUGAAAUGCGUAGAUAUAUGGAAGAACACCAGUGGCGAAGGCGGCUGUCUGGUCUGUAACUGACGCUGAGGCUCGAAAGUAUGGGUAGCAAACAGGAUUAGAUACCCUGGUAGUCCAUACCGUAAACGAUGAAUGCUAAGUGUUGGAGGGUUUCCGCCCUUCAGUGCUGCAGCUAACGCAUUAAGCAUUCCGCCUGGGGAGUACGGCCGCAAGGCUGAAACUCAAAGGAAUUGACGGGGGCCCGCACAAGCGGUGGAGCAUGUGGUUUAAUUCGAAGCUACGCGAAGAACCUUACCAGGUCUUGACAUACUAUGCAAAUCUAAGAGAUUAGACGUUCCCUUCGGGGACAUGGAUACAGGUGGUGCAUGGUUGUCGUCAGCUCGUGUCGUGAGAUGUUGGGUUAAGUCCCGCAACGAGCGCAACCCUUAUUAUCAGUUGCCAGCAUUAAGUUGGGCACUCUGGUGAGACUGCCGGUGACAAACCGGAGGAAGGUGGGGAUGACGUCAAAUCAUCAUGCCCCUUAUGACCUGGGCUACACACGUGCUACAAUGGAUGGUACAACGAGUUGCGAACUCGCGAGAGUAAGCUAAUCUCUUAAAGCCAUUCUCAGUUCGGAUUGUAGGCUGCAACUCGCCUACAUGAAGUCGGAAUCGCUAGUAAUCGCGGAUCAGCAUGCCGCGGUGAAUACGUUCCCGGGCCUUGUACACACCGCCCGUCACACCAUGAGAGUUUGUAACACCCAAAGUCGGUGGGGUAACG